UACGAAGGGGGGCUAGCGUUGCUCGGAAUCACUGGGCGUAAAGGGUGCGUAGGCGGGUCUUUAAGUCAGGGGGUGAAAUCCUGGAGCUCAACUCCAGAACUGCCUUUGAUACUGAAGAUCUUGAGUUCGGGGAGAGGUGAGUGGAACUGCGAGUGUAGAGGUGAAAUUCGUAGAUAUUCGCAAGAACACCAGUGGCGAAGGCGGCUCACUGGCCCGAUACUGACGCUGAGGCACGAAAGCGUGGGGAGCAAACAGG
rnacentral:rRNA from 1 species